AAACUUUCAACAACGGAUCUCUUGGCUCUUGCAUCGAUGAAGAACGCAGCGAAUUGCGAUAAGUAGUGUGAAUUGCAGAAUUCCGUGAAUCAUCGAAUCUUUGAACGCAUAUUGCACUCUUUGGUAUCCGAAGAGUAUGCCUGUUUGAGGGUCAUU
rnacentral:rRNA from 1 species